GGCGCGGUGGCUGAGUGGUCAGGCAGCGGACUGCAAAUCCGUGUACACCGGUUCGACUCCGGUCCGCGCCUCCA
rnacentral:tRNA from 1 species